rnacentral:rRNA from 1 species
UACGGAGGGUGCAAGCGUUAAUCGGAAUUACUGGGCGUAAAGCGUGCGUAGGUGGUUGAUUAAGUUAUCUGUGAAAUCCCUGGGCUUAACCUGGGCAGGUCAGAUGAUACUGGUUGACUCGAGUAUGGGAGAGGGUAGUGGAAUUUCCGGUGUAGCGGUGAAAUGCGUAGAGAUCGGAAGGAACACCAGUGGCGAAGGCGGCUACCUGGCCUAAUACUGACGCUGAGGCACGAAAGCGUGGGGAGCAAACAGG